UACGGAGGGUGCGAGCGUUGUCCGGAAUCACUGGGCGUAAAGGGCGCGUAGGCGGCGCGGGUAGUCAUCGGUGAAAGUUCAGGGCUCAACUCUGAAUCGGCCGGUGAUACUCCCGUGCUCGAGCACUGUAGAGGCAGGUGGAAUUCCGGGUGUAGCGGUGGAAUGCGUAGAGAUCCGGAAGAACACCGGUGGCGAAGGCGGGUCUCUGGGCAGUAACUGACGCUGAGGAGCGAAAGCGUGGGGAGCGAACAGG
rnacentral:rRNA from 1 species